CAAGGGGAUGCAACAGUGAUUAAAAGUCUCAGCAGGAUGGCUGAAUGCUGAUUUUUUUUUAAGUUCAUCCCAAUUUUUUUUUGGAAAGAAGCAAAAAGAGCGCUCAUUUUUGAGCUGUUCAAUGGUGACUGGUUUCUGAAAGUCUGCAUUUCCAAAGAAGAAGCGAAAUAUCAGUCAGUCUGAAAGGUAUAGUGGGAUUGUUUCUGGGAUGAACAAAGAGCAAGUGUGAACAGCACGACAACACCGUUUGACACUUUAAGGAUUAGAAAGCACAUAAAGGAAACAAAGGCUGGCAAAGAAACACAUGUUAAAGCUUUUAGGGUGUUUAAUAGCGUCAGAGAAAGUUAAAUUAAAACGCCGCAGCCACAUCUCACGACACGCAACAGAGUACAUCUGCAGUGGUUUAAGAGCAAGCUGUGUGUCCCAUCUCCAAUCUGCCAUGUUUGCUGUGAGUGGUGCAUGGGUGGUAGGGUGGAAAACUUAAUGUAUAGUUGAAUAAUUUCAAAGUAAGAAAAUAAAAGUGUGCCCACCACAGAUCCCGAAGCCGUUAACGAUUCAAAACCAAGGAAGUCAGCUCACUCCAAGCUGAACACUGACCACCCUCCCACCAGUGUGACCUCCUCAGAUCCGUGGCUCCUGUGCUAAAGCCAAAGCUGCACAUGCAACCCCCUCCGAAUUUUACAUGUACCACCUCAACUACACAGAGUCAAAAUUAGUCCGUUGAUACGAUACACAAUGUGCAAAAGUAACAGUAGCAAAGCUUCAAGUCUGGUCAGGUUCGAGCCGCAAAGAGCUUUCUGGCUGACGUUUCUCUCCCUUUUGACUCAGAUUAAAACUGCUGCCGCCCGUGGACUAAAGCUUUUCACGCAUGAAUCACUUUGACGACUUCCCAGUCGGCCAUGUUGGAUUGGACGCCAGCCAAAGGGAAACAUGCUUGAAAUGUAUGAAGACAAAUGAAGGGACGGAUGGAAGGGGCUGAGCACUGCAGGCAGUGCCAUGCACAGCACACGGAGCCCAGACGAGCUCCUGCAACCCGCCUCGACGCGCGGAGGAGUCAGGUCCUUUGACACCAGCCCCUCGAGCGCACCUUAACCGCUGUGAACUUGUUAACGCCUUUCAAUCCCCGACGGAGGCCCCCGCGACGGAGCCUCGCAAAAGAUCAGAGAGCCUCUCUGUAAAUGCACCAAGAGUUGCAGAGGUCCCACCAGAGCAGCAUCAAGUGACGACUGUUGCAGCCGAGAGAGCUUCAUCUUUGAAAGAAGCAAGAUUUUGGAACUUGCAACCCCGAUCUUUUGUCUUUAAAUGUGUUUCUUUUGAUUUAUUUGUUGUAGAUGUUGCUUUUGCAAAUGCCUUCUACGGUGUUUCCAACUAGCAUUUGAAUAUGAAAUAUGGAAACUCUGGAUAUUUAUGUAUUGUAUGCACUGUAUCUGCCCCUGUCAAAUAAAGCAUAAAUAGAAUAAAGAACUAAGUU